rnacentral:rRNA from 1 species
UGGGGAAUUUUGGACAAUGGACGCAAGUCUGAUCCAGCCAUGCCGCGUGCGGGAAGAAGGCCUUCGGGUUGUAAACCGCUUUUGUCAGGGAAGAAACGAGUUUCUCUAAUACAGAGACUUAAUGACAGUACCUGAAGAAUAAGCACCGGCUAACUACGUGCCAGCAGCCGCGGUAAUACGUAGGGUGCAAGCGUUAAUCGGAAUUACUGGGCGUAAAGCGUGCGCAGGCGGUUAUGCAAGACAGAUGUGAAAUCCCCGGGCUCAACCUGGGAACUGCAUCUGUGACUGUAUAGCUAAAGUACGGCAGAGGGGGAUGGAAUUCCGCGUGUAGCAGUGAAAUGCGUAGAUAUGCGGAGGAACACCGAUGGCGAAGGCAAUCCCCUGGGCCUGUACUGACGCUCAUGCACGAAAGCGUGGGGAGCAAACA